GAAGGGUGCCCUCGCGAUUUGUCCGGCCAGCUUGCGGCGAGGUAAAAGAAGCGCGCUAAACGGCCGUGGCGCCGUUUCC
rnacentral:ncRNA from 1 species